UUACAGUGCCUCACUGUACAGGCUGCGCUGCCGGUGGGGUUUCAGUUGAAGUGCAGCCUCUACAGUGUGGCACAACGGUUUCCCAUGGCAGAGGCAGCGUAUGUGGUGUCAGAGUACAUGUAGAUGUUCCAAGUCUUCCCUGGUCCAUGCAUGGCUUCAAAGAAGCACAUGUCAACGUUACCAUGUGGACGCAUCGAACCGCGGCCAGCGCCUCCAGGCCUAGAUGUGAUUGAACCGUGCAGCUGGUCAGCCUUUCAUUGUUUCUUCCCACUGAGUACCUCAGGGGCGGGGUUUUGAAGACGAAGGGAGAGGGUGGAUGCGAUGCCAGGAAGAGAAAGUCUGCAGCGGCGUUGCCACAAGGAUAACCUACCUGGACACAAUGAGGCCACUGCUAAUGUGGACAUCUCGCUGGCUUACAGGACGGGACACAUGACUUGGGAUGCAAUGUGAAAUACUGUACACGCCUGAUGAGAUUCACUAAUUAAUUCAGUGGGAUGAUGGGUACGUUUGAUUAAAAGAUUGCCUUUUGAACCUACUGUAACACGGGGCGGUAGAUUGCUGUCUCUGGCCGUUCACCCUGAUUAGAGUGAUUUCAGCUGAUGUUAACGAUAAGCGUUGAAAAGUGGAGUUUCAUAGUUAACAUUUUUUAUUAAAAUUUA